UGGAAUUGGACUUGAGAACAAGUUAUAAACAAGAUCAAGAUAUCUCACACUGGUUAAGUUUCCUAAUAACUUGGGUAUUUCGUUCAAAUCUAACUCCUCCAGUGUAUUAUUACUACACUCAGACAAACCAUCUCCUAGUUAAGUAAGAGAUUGCAAGUCACAAAGAAUUGUGAAAGUAUUAUUGGAUAAUAAGGGGUCUUUAAUAUUGAAGAG
rnacentral:misc_RNA from 1 species